AUAGGACAGUUACAGCAACUGAAGCUAGGCAUAUAUAGAGAAAACACCAGAAAAAUUCUCUGAUUUUUACCGUUUUGUUUGAUUUAUUAGUUGGCACUCAUAGAGGCUUUUAAUCUAUUCUAAGCUACAAUGUUAGGUAAUUCUAAACAUGUUGCAGUUUUUGCAUUCCCAUUUGACCACCAUGCCAAACUGGUCCUCAACUUAGUCUGCAAAUCAGCAACGGCUAUUCCAGAAGCUCAGUCUUCUUUCUUCACCACAACCAAAUCCAACCACACUCUCUUCUCACCCUCCCAAUCCCACUUUCCACCCAACCUCAAACCCUACACCGUCGGAUACGGCGUUCCGGUGGGCCAUCAGCCGCCGGCGACUUAUCUUCAGUCACUGGACUUAUUCAUCACGGCAGCGCCAAAAAACUUCGAGAUGGUAUGAAAGUGGCAGUGACAGAUUCGGCCGGAGUAUCAGCUGCUUGAUAACUGACGGAAUCCACGCAUUCGUUGGAUCCCAAUUUGGGUUCCGUUUUCCUCUGCGCUUUUGCCCAUAUUCCCACCCACCUUAUUCGCGAAAGCUUUAACGAUGAAGACCAGGCUAUACAACCCAUUAUUCCCGGAUAAUCCGGAUUGCGAAAUGAGGAUCUACCCGACGAAGUAUUCAUCAAUGGCGGUGACGAAGAAACGAUUUUCUCCCACAUGCCGAGUUAAACCGGACUGAUUCUACCAGUGAGCUACAGCCAUUGUCAUGAAUUCUUACCAAGAAUUAGGCGCUGAUUCCCUUCUCACUCAGCAAGUCAAAUCCAAAUUUCACAAUUUAUUCAAUCUGGGUUUUCUCAUUGUUCCUCUGCCUCCGAUGCCUUUGCCACUGUCUGAUUCCGAUCAAACAGGUUGCCUAUCCUGGUUGGACGGGCAAAAAACGACGUCGGUUGCAUAAAUAAGCUUCGGAACCCCCAGAUCAUGAAGAGCUAAUUGCAAUUGCAGAGGCACUUGAAGCAAGUACCACUCUGCCAUUUCUCUGGUCUCUUAGAGGCAAUUUAGUGGACCUUUUGCCUAGUGGGUUUGUUGAAAGAACAAAGAAGCAUGGAAAAAUAGUGAAAUGAGCCAAGUUCUUGGACAUUGUUCGGUGGGUGUGUUGGUAACUCACUGUGGAUGUUACACUGUGUGCGAGAGCAUUGCUAAUGGGUUCCCAAUGAUUUGUAGGCCAUUCUUUGGUGACCCGGACCAUAAAAUGACUGCGAAAAUGAUGGAGGAAGUUUGGGAAGUUGGGGUGAGAAUUGAGGGUGGGGUUUCCACAAAGAGUGGAUUGGUCAAGAGCUUUGAGCUGUUUUUGGGAAACCAAAGAGGGAAGAUGAUGAAAAAGAAUGCUGAGGCACUCAAGGAGGUUAUAUUGAAAACUGCUCAACCGACCAAAAAAAAAAAAAAAAUGGAAUAGCUGCCAAAGAUUUCAAGAGUUUGACAAAUAUAAUAUGCUUUUGAAAGAAAUUACAAGUAUAAUAAUUAGUUUUAGCGUUUAUAAUAUACAUGUAUGGAUACAUGCAAGGGAUAUGGAUAUUUAUUAAAGGAUUAAUAUUAAUCUGGUUCCAACUUGCAACCAUUCUGGUCCUUCAGUAUCUGGUUCCAACUUCCAAUGUUAAUUUGUUUACUAUGUGGGACCACUUUUUAACUAUUGCACUAUAGUAUUUUCACAUGAUGCCAUAUUCAGAUCAAGUUGGUAAAACAACACCAUGGUUAUGGCCAAUAUAUAAUAUACGAAUGCUGUAUUCAUUAUACCUUCUCUGCUUUUCUGAGAAUCAAUAUUUGUGUCUUGCAAGCUUGUCUCUGAUUUCUCUACAACAUUAAUAAAUCUCUAACACGUAUUUGAGUUUGACUCAGGUUGGCAUCAAUGUUUCAAUUCCUGUUCCCUUGCCCUUCUUUCUCAUUUACUGGCUCCAAGGCGUCUUUUGCAAGCGAUCUUAACUUCUACGGCAAGGCUGGAGUUAAUUUUUACACUCACAUAAAAACUAUUAACUCAGCAGUAGGACUUACCUGGAGGCAGUGGUGUUGACGUAGCAAUGCCGACUUCUCAGAAGGCAUAAUCGCUAUCUAAUUCUGUGAUAAAUGGUUUCUUAAAGUUUACCACUUUGUGACAGGAUAUUGUAAAUGCAAUUACUGAUGAUGAUGAUAUCAGAUCUGUUUCAUUUGUGGGCUUUAAUACUGCUGCCAUGCACAUAUAUGGAAGAGCAUCAGCUAAAGGGAAACGUGUUCAGUCUAAUAUGGGAGCCAAAAAUCAUGCAAUCGUCCUGUCUGAUGCAAGCGAGGAUGCUGCUUUAAAUGCUAUUGUUGCUGCUGGUUUCGGUGCUGCUGGACAAAGAUGCAUGGCACUCAGCACAGUUGUUUUUGUUGGAGGUGCAAAGUCAUGGUACAUAUUAUUUUCCCUGUUUGUUCAAUUUUAUUCCGGUUUAUGUUGUACAGUAUUCUACCUUUUUCCUUUUAAUAAU